AAAUUGAAGAGUUUGAUCAUGGCUCAGAUUGAACGCUGGCGGCAGGCCUAACACAUGCAAGUCGAACGGUAACAGGAAGCAGCUUGCUGCUUUGCUGACGAGUGGCGGACGGGUGAGUAAUGUCUGGGAAACUGCCUGAUGGAGGGGGAUAACUACUGGAAACGGUAGCUAAUACCGCAUAACGUCGCAAGACCAAAGAGGGGGACCUUCGGGCCUCUUGCCAUCGGAUGUGCCCAGAUGGGAUUAGCUAGUAGGUGGGGUAAAGGCUCACCUAGGCGACGAUCCCUAGCUGGUCUGAGAGGAUGA
rnacentral:rRNA from 1 species